CCUACGGGAGGCAGCAGUGGGGAAUAUUGCACAAUGGGGGAAACCCUGAUGCAGCGACGCCGCGUGAGCGAAGAAGUAUUUCGGUAUGUAAAGCUCUAUCAGCAGGGAAGAAAAUGACGGUACCUGACUAAGAAGCUCCGGCUAAAUACGUGCCAGCAGCCGCGGUAAUACGUAUGGAGCAAGCGUUAUCCGGAUUUACUGGGUGUAAAGGGAGCGUAGGCGGUAAGGCAAGUCUGAUGUGAAAGGCAAGGGCUCAACCCUGGGACUGCAUUGGAAACUGUUUAACUGGAGUGUCGGAGAGGCAAGUGGAAGUCCUAGUGUAGCGGUGAAAUGCGUAGAUAUUAGGAGGAACACCAGUGGCGAAGGCGGCUUGCUGGACGAUGACUGACGCUGAGGCUCGAAAGCGUGGGGAGCAAACAGGAUUAGAUACCCUUGUAGUC
rnacentral:rRNA from 1 species